CCUACGGGAGGCAGCAGUGAGGAAUAUUGGUCAAUGGACGAGAGUCUGAACCAGCCAAGUAGCGUGAAGGAUGACUGCCCUAUGGGUUGUAAACUUCUUUUAUAUGGGAAUAAAGUGUUCCACGUGUGGGAUUUUGUAUGUACCAUAUGAAUAAGGAUCGGCUAACUCCGUGCCAGCAGCCGCGGUAAUACGGAGGAUCCGAGCGUUAUCCGGAUUUAUUGGGUUUAAAGGGAGCGUAGGGGGAUUGUUAAGUCAGUUGUGAAAGUUUGCGGCUCAACCGUAAAAUUGCAGUUGAAACUGGCAGUCUUGAGUACAGUAGAGGUGGGCGGAAUUCGGGGUGUAGCGGUGAAAUGCUUAGAUAUCACGAAGAACUCCGAUUGCGAAGGCAGCUUACUGGACUGCAACUGACACUGAGGCUCGAAAGUGUGGGUAUCAAACAGGAUUAGAUACCCUGGUAGUC
rnacentral:rRNA from 1 species